AACGUAGGAGACAAACGUUAUCCGGAGUUACUGGGCGUAAAGGGCGUGUAGGUGGUAGUGUAAGUCUGGCGUGAAAUUUUUCGGCUUAACCGGGAAAGGUCGUCGGAUACUGCACAACUAGAGGACGGUAGAGGCGUGUGGAAUUCCGGGUGUAGUGGUGAAAUGCGCAGAUAUCAGGAAGAACACCCGUGGCUAAGGCGGCUCUCUAGUACGGUACUGACGCUGAGACGCGAAAGCGUGGGGAGCGAACAGG
rnacentral:rRNA from 1 species